AAGGAAUAUUGGUCAAUGGACGAAAGUCUGAACCAGCCAUGCCGCGUGAAGGAUUAAGGCCCUCUGGGUUGUAAACUUCUUUUAUCUGGGACGAAAAAAGGGUAUUCUUACUCACUUGACGGUACCAGAGGAAUAAGCACCGGCUAACUCCGUGCCAGCAGCCGCGGUAAUACGGAGGGUGCAAGCGUUAUCCGGAUUUACUGGGUUUAAAGGGUGCGUAGGUGGGUUUGUAAGUCAGUGGUGAAAUCUCCGAGCUUAACUCGGAAACUGCCAUUGAUACUAUAGAUCUUGAAUUAUCUGGAGGUAAGCGGAAUAUGUCAUGUAGCGGUGAAAUGCUUAGAUAUGACAUAGAACACCAAUUGCGAAGGCAGCUUACUACGGAUAUAUUGACACUGAGGCACGAAAGCGUGGGGAUCAAAC
rnacentral:rRNA from 1 species